rnacentral:rRNA from 1 species
AGUGAACGCUGGCGGUAGGCCUAACACAUGCAAGUCGAACGGCAGCACAGUAAGAGCUUGCUCUUACGGGUGGCGAGUGGCGGACGGGUGAGGAAUACAUCGGAAUCUACUUUUUCGUGGGGGAUAACGUAGGGAAACUUACGCUAAUACCGCAUACGACCUACGGGUGAAAGCAGGGGAUCUUCGGACCUUGCGCGAUUGAAUGAGCCGAUGUCGGAUUAGCUAGUUGGCGGGGUAAGGGCCCACCAAGGCGACGAUCCGUAGCUGGUCUGAGAGGAUGAUCAGCCACACUGGAACUGAGACACGGUCCAGACUCCUACGGGAGGCAGCAGUGGGGAAUAUUGGACAAUGGGCGCAGGCCUGAUCCAGCCAUACCGCGUGGGUGAAGAAGGCCUUCGGGUUGCAAAGCCCUUUUGUUGGGAAAGAAAAGCAGCAGGUUAAUACCCCGCUGUUCUGACGGUACCCAAAGAAUAAGCACCGGCUAACUUCGUG